rnacentral:rRNA from 1 species
UACGGGGGGGCAAGCGUUGUUCGGAAUUAUUGGGCGUAAAGGGCGCGUAGGCGGUGCCACAAGUCACCUGUGAAAUCUCCGGGCUUAACUCGGAGCCUGCAGGCGAAACUGUGGUGCUGGAGUGUGGGAGAGGUGCGUGGAAUUCCUGGUGUAGCGGUGAAAGUGACGCAGAUAUCAGGAGGAACACCGGUGGCGAAGGCGGGUCUCUGGGCCGAUACUGACGCUGAGGAGCGAAAGCGUGGGGAGCGAACAGG